UUUACGGGAGGCAGCCAGUAGGGAAUCUUCCACAAUGGGCGAAAGCCUGAUGGAGCAAUGCCGCGUGAGUGAAGAAGGUUUUCGGAUCGUAAAACUCUGUUGUUGAAGAAGAACAUGCGUGAGAGUAACUGUUCACGUACUGACGGAUCAACCAGAAGCC
rnacentral:rRNA from 1 species